rnacentral:rRNA from 1 species
UAGGGGAGGCACCAGUGGGGAAUAUUGGACAAUGGACCGAGAUUCUGAUCCAGCAAUUCUGUGUGCACGAUGAAGUUUUUCGGAAUGUAAAGUGCUUUCAGUUGGGAAGAAAAAAUGACGGUACCAACAGAAGAAGUGACGGCUAAAUACGUGCCAGCAGCCGCGGUAAUACGUAUGUCACGAGCGUUAUCCGGAUUUAUUGGGCGUAAAGCGCGUCUAGGUGGUUAUGUAAGUCUGAUGUGAAAAUGCAGGGCUCAACUCUGUAUUGCGUUGGAAACUGUAUAACUAGAGUACUGGAGAGGUAAGCGGAACUACAAGUGUAGAGGUGAAAUUCGUAGAUAUUUGUAGGAAUGCCGAUGGGGAAGCCAGCUUACUGGACAGAUACUGACGCUAAAGCGCGAAAGCGUGGGUAGCAAACAGGAUUAGAUACCCUGGUAGUCCACGCUGUAAACGAUGAUUACUAGGUGUUGGGGGUCGAACCUCAGCGCCCAAGCAAACGCGAUAAGUAAUCCGCCUGG